rnacentral:rRNA from 1 species
AUGAACGCUGGCGGCGUGCCUAAUCCCUGCAAGUCGAGCGCACGGACGAGAAGCUUGCUUCUCUGAUGUUAGCGGCGGACGGGUGAGUAACACGUGGAUAACCUACCUAUAAGACUGGGAUAACUUCGGGAAACCGGAGCUAAUACCGGAUGAUAUUUUGAACCGCAUGGUUCAAAAGUGAAAGACGGUCUUGCUGUCACUUAUAGAUGGAUCCGCGCUGCAUUAGCUAGUUGGUAAGGUAACGGCUUACCAAGGCAACGAUGCAUAGCCGACCUGAGAGGGUGAUCGGCCACACUGGAACUGAGACACGGUCCAGACUCCUACGGGAGGCAGCAGUAGGGAAUCUUCCGCAAUGGGCGAAAGCCUGACGGAGCAACGCCGCGUGAGUGAUGAAGGUCUUCGGAUCGUAAAACUCUGUUAUUAGGGAAGAACAUAUGUGUAAGUAACUGUGCACAUCUUGACGGUACCUAAUCAGAAAGCCACGGCUAACUACGUG